GCUGAAUAUACCGGUUCUCGUUAGAUCACCGAAGUCAAGCAUCAUUGGGCGAUGUCAGUAGUUGGGUGGGUGACCACCUGGGAACACCGCGUGCCGUU